GGGUCAUUAGCUCAGCCGGUAGAGCAGUGGACUUUUAAUCCAUUGGUCGAUGGUUCGAAUCCAUCAUGACCCACCA
rnacentral:tRNA from 1 species